rnacentral:rRNA from 1 species
AACGUAGGAUCCGAGCGUUAUCCGAAUUCACUGGGCGUAAAGCGCGAGUAGGCGGCAUAACAAGUUGGAUGUAAAAACUUCCGGCUCAACUGGGAGAGGACGUUCAAUACUGUUAGGCUAGAGGACGGUAGAGGGAGGUGGAAUUCCCGGUGUAGUGGUGAAAUGCGUAGAUAUCGGGAGGAACACCAGAGGCGAAGGCGGCCUCCUGGACCGUAACUGACGCUGAGAAGCGAAAGCUAGGGGAGCGAACGGG